AUUGAACGCUGGCGGCAUGCCUUACACAUGCAAGCCGAACGGUAACGGGCCUUCGGGUGCCGACGAGUGGCGAACGGGUGAGUAAUACAUCGGAACGUGCCCGAUCGUGGGGGAUAACGAGGCGAAAGCUUUGCUAAUACCUCAUACGAUCUACGGAUGAAAGCAGGGGACCGCAAGGCCUUGCGCGGACGGAGCGGCCGAUGGCAGAUUAGGUAGUUGGUGGGAUAAAAGCUUACCAAGCCGACGAUCUGUAGCUGGUCUGAGAGGAUGAUCAGCCACACUGGGACUGAGACACGGCCCAGACUUCUACGGGAGGCAGCAGUGGGGAAUUUUGGACAAUGGGCGCAAGCCUGAUCCAGCCAUGCCGCGUGCAGGAUGAAGGCCUUCGGGUUGUAAACUGCUUUUGUACGGAACGAAAAGCCUUCUUUUAAUACAGGAGGGUCAUGACGGUACCGUAAGAAUAAGCACCGGCUAACUACGUG
rnacentral:rRNA from 1 species